UGAAAAGAUUCCCAUAACCUGGUCGUCUUCAAUCAAACGUCCGACAAGUAAACCCACUCCCAAAACUUUUCAGUGUAUCUCCAAAACCCCAAAAACUCUUCAGCAAAACCCUAGUCAUAUUACCUCGGAUUUUGCCCCCAAAUUUUCCCGCUUCAAUCACUGGUUUGACCCUUCAACUCUCAUAUACGUCGUUCAGUACAUCCUUUGGCUGCUUCACUCUCAAAUCUGAUGGUCUUUCUUAGUUUGCUGUUUUCACCUGAAAAUGUUGCUCCACUUUCUUUCACUGCUUCUUCUGCUUUUGCCAUUGGCUACGCCUUUUCCGGCGACUGGUCCUCACAUUGCGGAUGUCAACAUACUGUUGCCUCCCAAAAUGACUCACCCUGUUGAGUAUAGACUUCAAGGUAGUGAUGGUUGCUUCAAAUGGACAUGGGAUCAUCAUGAUAUUUUGGCUGUGCUGCCUGAGUACAAUGUCAGUAGCCAAUGCUCUACAAGUGCCCGCUUGAAAUCAAUUGCCCCUUAUAGUGGUCGAAAGGAGACUGCUGUCUAUGCGACAGAUGUGCAUACUGGAGCUGUGAUUCGAUGCAAAGUUUAUGUUGACAACUUCUCUAGGAUCCAGAUUUUCCAUAGCUCCGUCAAACUUGACCUUGAUGGCCUUGCUACUUUACGUGUCCGUGCCUUUGAUAGUGAAGAGAAUGUUUUCUCGUCUUUGGUGGGCAUACAAUUCACGUGGCACCUAAUGCCUGAAACUGAUGGAUUGCCUCAUCACCUGACACAUAUCCCUUUGAAGGACUCUCCACUGAGUGAUUGUGGCGGAUUAUGUGGUGACCUUGAUAUCCAAAUAAAGCUUGAAAAUAGCGGCGUGUUUUCUGAUCUCUAUGUGGUAAAGGGCACGGAAAUCGGCCAUGAAAUAGUGUCUGUUCAUUUGGAUGAACCGUCAGUUAAAUAUAUGGAAGAUAAAAUUGUCCUAACUGUGGCAGAAGCCAUAUCUCUGGAACCUCCUUCGCCGGUUUGUGUCCUUGUUGGUGCUAUUGUUCAUUAUAGUCUUAAAGUUAUCCGUGGGAAUAUUCCACAACUUGUUACUCUGCCAUCUGCCUUUCACCGAUGGUCUGUUUCAAACUCCUCAGUUGCUCAGGUAGACAGGAUGGUGGGUACUGCCAAGGCUUUGAACUUGGGUAUAACAACGGUAACUGUUGAAGAUACUAGGGUGGUUGGCCAUACACAAGUGUCUUCUUUCCACGUUGUCCUACCAGAUUCUUUAUCUUUGUAUAUGUUACCUCUAUCUCUUUCUGGAGAUCAUGUAAAGGGAAUUGAACCAAUACCCUCCGUGGCACGCUGGUAUGUAGUUUCUGGUCGGGAAUAUCUCAUUCAAGUAAGGAUUUUCUCGAAAGGAACAUGGGUACAAGAAGUUUACAUUUCAGAAAAUGAUGACGUUAAGUUGCAUGGUGACUCAUCAGAAAUCUGGAGUAUUAUUCCCUCAUCCAAUCGCAUUGGAGAGAAAGGGGUAUCCAGAAUCCUAAAAGCUCUUUCGUGUGGUCUGGGAAAAUUGACUGCGACUCUCACAUAUUGCACUGGGCACGAAGAAACAAAGGAAGUUCUCAAAGUUGUUCAAGAAGUUAUGGUUUGUGACCAGGUGAAGUUCAUCAUGGAAGGUGUCUCCGACAGUAUUACUCUUCCUUGGGCACCUGGUGUUUAUCAGGAGUUGGAGCUAAAGGUUACUGGGGGCUGUGCAAUGGUGUCUGGUGACUACAGAUGGUUCUCUUCUGAUAUGUCUAUUGUGUCGGUAUCUGCUUCUGGGGUUGUCCAGGCAAAAAGACCUGGAAAAGUGACUAUAAAGGCAGUCUCGGUUUUUGAUUCUCUUAAUUAUGAUGAGAUAGUUGUUGAAGUGAGUUUGCCUUCUUUAAUGAUAGUACUGCCUAAUUUUCCGGUGGAGACUCCUGUAGGUUCAUAUCUUCGAGCUGCUGUGACAUUUAAAACAUUGGAUGGUGACUUAUUCUACAAAUGUGAUGCUUUUAGCCCAUCCAUAAAGUGGAAAACUGGCAGUGACGCUUUCCUUAUUGUGGAUGCUGGUGAGACCUUUAUUUCUGAAAAGCAAGAAAUUCUUCCAAUUGAUACAGAGAAAUAUGGUCCUCCAUGUGCAUGGACUUAUGUCUAUGCUUCUAAUUCUGGACAGACGAUGCUGCAUGCAACAUUGUCAAAAGAAUUUCAACAGUAUGAUCACUAUACUGGCGGUUCUGUUGUUCUGCAAGCAACUUCGCGUAUUGCAGCUUUUAUGCCACUCAUCGUGCACCCGGCUAGUGAUGGAAACCAGUUUGGUGGUUACUGGUUUAAUUUGGUUCAGGCUGAAGCUGAUAAUCACCUGGACAAUAUGGAGCAUCUAUAUCUUGCCCCUGGAACAUAUUUUGAUGUGAUGCUUCGUGGAGGACCUAACCGAUGGGACCAGGGAGUUGAAUUUGUUGAAUCCGUGGAGAGUUUGGAUGAACACAAUCUCAGGGUUCAAGAUGGGCUUCUAGUUAAUCAAGAAUUUACCAGCUAUGGGAGCACAUACAGAAUCAAGUGCCAAGAUGUUGGAAACUUUAGGCUUCUUUUGAAACGUGGGAAUUUAAUUGGAGAGGGUCAUCCUUUGCCUGCUGUAUCUAAAGUGCAAUUAUCACUCACAUGUGGUUUCCCAGCCUCUAUAGCAUUAAUAGCUGAUGAAACUGUUAAUUCCGUUGAAGUGAUCCAGUCUGCAGCUCAGGCUGACCGUGGCAGUGGAAGGAUUCGUACUACCCCAAUCACAAUAGCAAAUGGGCGCACAGUUCGACUAUCAGCAGUUGGCAUUAGUGAGUCUGGAAUAGCGUUUGGAAACUCAUCUUCUCUUCCUUUGAAGUGGGAGCUUAAAGAUUGUGAUGAUCUGGCAUUUUGGGAUGAUAUCCACAACUUAGCAAUGUUAUCAAAUUGGGAGAGGUACUUGGUCUUGGCAAAUACAACUGGACUAUGUAUUGUACGAGCAACCGUUAUUGGACCUGUUGAUUUGGGUAGCCAUCGUCAUUCUCUUAAACACAUUCCAGGCCCUGAGAAUGAUCUGACAGAUGCCAUACGCUUGCAACUUGUUUCAUCCUUAAGGGUCUAUCCAGAAUUCAGCUUGUUGUAUCUCAAUCAUGAUGCCAAGUUGAAUCUGUCAAUUACUGGAGGAAGUUGUUUCAUUGAUGCUGUAGUAAAUGAUACACAAGUUAUGGAAAUAACUCAGCCUGCUCCAGGUUUACAGUGUACACAAUUACUACUGGCUCCUAAGAAGUUGGGAACUGCACUUGUAACGGUUCGAGAUGUUGGGCUUGCUCCACCUCUUUCCGCUUUCUCUGUGGUUCAAGUUGCAGAUGUGGACUGGAUUAAGAUUACAUCUGGAGAAGAAUUGAGCAUUAUGGAAGGGAGUUCACUGUCAAUCAAUUUUCUUGCUGGAGUAAAUGAUGGGAACACUUUUGAUUCUUCGCAGUAUGUUUACAUGAAUAUUCGUGUUCAUAUUGAGGAUCAUAUAGUUGAACUUGUCAAUGAAGAUGAUCUUUCCUGUUGUGAUGAUGGAUAUGUGAUUGUGCCUAACUUCAGAAUAAGGGCGAUGCGUCUUGGGGUCACCACACUGUAUGUCAGCGCUAGACAACAUACUGGCCAUGAGAUACUGAGUCAGCCAAUUAAGGUAGAAGUCUAUGCACCACCUAGAAUUCAUCCUAGUGAUAUUUUCCUUGUACCAGGUGCUUCUUACGUGCUUACUGUCAGAGGAGGCCCAAAAACUGGUGCAUAUAUCAAGUUCGUCAGUAUGGAUAAUGAGGUUGCUAAGGUCCAUACAGCCACAGGACGAGUUUCUGCAACAUCACCAGGAAACAGUACCAUAGCUGCCAAGAUAUACAGGAAUGGAGAUAUCUUUAUUUGUCAGGCAUAUGGUGAAGUUAAAGUAGGUGUUCCUUCUUCAGCUAUGUUAAAUGUUCAAAGUGAGCAGCUAGCUGUUGGCCGUCAAAUACCAAUAUUUCCCUCCCUGUCUGAGGGAAAUUUAUUUUCAUUUUAUGAACUUUGCAGAAAUUAUAAGUGGACUAUAAAUGAUGAAGAGGUGUUGAGUUUCCAAGCAGCAGACGACUUACAUGGUGGAAAAAAUGGAAUGCUCUUGUCCAGUGAAAAAGGCAAUCGGCUGGCAGGAUAUGUGGGUGAUAAAGACCUUGGUUUUAUUCAAGUAUUGCAUGGAAGAUCUGCGGGGCAGACAGAUGUUACAGUUUCUUUCUCCUGUGAUUUUGUUGCUCGUAAAUCUUUUUCACAGUCAAGAUUAUAUACUGCAUCUAUUUCCUUGUCGGUAGUGCCUGAGCUUCCCCUUGCUCUCGGGUCACCAAUUACUUGGAUUCUCCCUCCACAUUAUACCACGUCUGAUCUUUUGCCUUCAGCUUCUAAAACUUUCGGUAAAGGGGAUCCAAGUAUGGGUAAGGUUACUUAUUCUAUACUGGGAGACUGUAGAAGAAAGGGUGAAAGGGAGGAAGAUGAUCCUAUACUCAUUGAUGGGAGCAGAAUAAGAACAAAAGAGAGUGGCAAUCUUGCAUGUAUUCAAGCAAAAGAUAGGUCAAAUGGAAGAGUUGAGGUAGCAUCUUGUGUGAAGGUUGCUGAAGUGACUCAAGUACGUUUCACGUCAGAAAAGUUGCUGGUUCACACAUUAGCGAUAGGUGCUGAAAUUGAUGUUCCGAUCAAAUAUUAUGAUGUGCUUGGGAAUCCUUUCCAUGAGGCUCAUGAUGUAUUUCUUUUUGGAGUUGAAACUAACUACCGCGAUGUCAUCUCUGUUGAGGAUGCAGUUGAUGGCAAUGGAAAUGUCCAUCUCAGAGCAAUCAGUCAUGGUAGAGCUCUUGUGCGAGUAGGUUUUGCCAAUGACCUGGAGAAGUCUGAUUAUGUGGUGAUUCUCGUUGGUGCUCAUUUGCAUCCUCAAAAUCCAACCUUUCACCUAGGUAGUGGUCUUAACUUCAGCAUAGAAGGUCUAAAUGAUCAGGUAUCUGGUCAGUGGUUUAGUAGUAAUACAACCAUUGUGUCUGUGGACCAGCUAUCUGGACAUGCCAAGGCGAUAGGGGAAGGUUCUGCACGAAUUAUCUUUGAGAGUUCAAAUAUGAAACUACAAACUACAGUUACAGUGUCUCAGCCAGAGAUGAUGUCUGUUGAUGCUCCAAGAGAGAUGCUGACAAACGUGCCGCUUCCAGCAAAUGGAUAUAGCUUUCAUGUGAAACUUAAUGAUGCUCAUGGCCACAAGUAUAAAUCUGCUAAAAACAGGGCAAUUUUCUUGUUUGAUUGCCUGGUUGAUCCACCUUAUGUUGGAUACGUGAAGCCAUGGGUUGAUCUUGAUACUGGUAGUUCGUAUUGCCUUUUCUUCCCUUACUCUCCAGAACAUUUGGUACUUGCCACUCCAAAGUCAGGAGACACUAGACGGGAUUUAGCUGUUACCAUAAAGGCAUCGCUCAUAGGAGAGCAGAAUAUCUCAGGUUCUGCUUCAGCACUUUUUGUUGGAGGCUUCAUCAUUCUGGGAACAGAAGGAGAUUCAUUGCAGUUAAAUCUAACCCCAGAAUAUAACAAGAGUGUCCUAACUGUCGUAGGAAACACGGAUGUGAAUAUCUACUGGCAUGAUCAGGAACGGCUAGCUAUCAGACCAAUAUAUGGGGAAGAUUCGCAAGGAGGAAGCCGUGCACAGUACGAGGUCAAAAUUCGCAGAGCAGAGAAAUUUAAAGACAAACUGAUUUUUACACUCCCAGCCACUGGUCAGAGGAUGGAAGUUAAUGUUUGCUAUGAACCCGAAGAGAGAAGAGCAACAUCUGCUAAUCUUAAUUUAUGGUCCGCUGCAGCUGCGUGUUUCAUUUUGAUGAUAUUCACAGCUACUUUAUUCAUUUGUUACUUGGACCAACCUGUGAGAUCCCAACCAACUGCUCCUCCUGGCACGCCAAGGGUAGCUGCACCUACAACUCCUGAGCGGAGCAGUCCGGCUGUAGUAAACGAACAUUCUCCUCGGACACCUCAGCCAUUCUUGGAUUAUGUUAGGAGGACAAUUGAUGAAACCCCAUACUACAGACAAGAUUUUAGGAGGAGAGCUAAUCCUCAGAAUACUUUCUAGCAUACCGGUGGCUGUAUUCUUCCCUUCCCUCUCCUCUUUUUGCCUUGUCAGAUAUGUCAAAUGGUUUCUCAGUGUCACUUGGUUCUAAUCAGCUUGCUGCGUGAGGAACACGACGCACAGGAGCGUGAGAACCCUCUUCCCAAUGCCCAACGGUCCAAAAUAGUGUGUAUUUAAGCGGGUUCUUAUUCAUUCCUUGUAAAAUACAUUAUGCCUCCAUUAUAUAGAAUCUGAAGCUCGUCCUAUAUUUUGUCAUUGUGGAGUUGAAACUAAGUUUUGCAUCACUUGGAAGCCAACAAAUCCAGGAAGAAGGUUUUAUGGGUGCUCAAAUUAUGGUCGAAACAAUUCUUGUAAUUUUUUUAGGUGGUUAAUUUGACCCCUUCUUCCAGAUCACUAUAAACAAGUGAUUUCACGUUUGUUAUCAAAAAUUAGAAAGAGAGAGAUCGACUACAUCGUAGGAAGAGGGUGAAGAUCAUUGUAACUUUAGUUGUUGUAUUAGCAAUAAUUAUUGUAAUUUCCUUCUUAGUCUAGUUAGCACUAGUCAUUGUAAUUGUCUUUUUAACCCUAUGUACAAUGAUAAUAACAAAAUGUAUGAUGAA